rnacentral:rRNA from 1 species
CCUACGGGAGGCAGCAGUGAGGAAUAUUGGUCAAUGGGCGAGAGCCUGAACCAGCCAAGUAGCGUGAAGGAUGACUGCCCUACGGGUUGUAAACUUCUUUUAUAUAGGAAUAAAGUUCGGUAUGUAUGCCUUUUUGUAUGUACUAUAUGAAUAAGGAUCGGCUAACUCCGUGCCAGCAGCCGCGGUAAUACGGAGGAUCCGAGCGUUAUCCGGAUUUAUUGGGUUUAAAGGGAGCGUAGAUGGGUGUUUAAGUCAGUUGUGAAAGUUUGCGGCUCAACCGUAAAAUUGCAGUUGAUACUGGCAGUCUUGAGUACAGGUGAGGUAGGCGGAAUUCGUGGUGUAGCGGUGAAAUGCUUAGAUAUCACGAAGAACUCCGAUUGCGAAGGCAGCCUACUAGACUGUAACUGACGUUGAUGCUCGAAAGUGUGGGUAUCAAACAGGAUUAGAUACCCUUGUAGUC